AUUGAACGCUGGCGGCAGGCUUAACACAUGCAAGUCGAGCGGGCGAGGUUGCUUCGGUAACUGAGCUAGCGGCGGACGGGUGAGUAAAGCUUAGGAAUCUGCCUAUUAGUGGGGGGCAACAUUUCGAAAGGGAUGCUAAUACCGCAUACGUCCUACGGGAGAAAGCAGGGGAUCACUUGUGACCUUGCGCUAAUAGAUGAGCCUAAGUCGGAUUAGCUAGUUGGUGGGGUAAAGGCCUACCAAGGCGACGAUCUGUAGCGGGUCUGAGAGGAUGAUCCGCCACACUGGGACUGAGACACGGCCCAGACUCCUACGGGAGGCAGCAGUGGGGAAUAUUGGACAAUGGGGGGAACCCUGAUCCAGCCAUGCCGCGUGUGCGAAGAAGGCCUUUUGGUUGUAAAGCACUUUAAGUGGGGAGGAGGCUCUCUUGGUUAAUACCUAAGAAGAGUGGACGUUACCCACAGAAUAAGCACCGGCUAACUCUGUGCCAGCAGCCGCUGUAACAC
rnacentral:rRNA from 1 species